rnacentral:rRNA from 1 species
AAUGAAUUUCCGAAAGGAAAGCGGCGGACGGGUGAGUAACGCGUGAGUAACCUGCCCAUAAGAGCGGGAUAAUCCAUGGAAACGUGGACUAAUACCGCAUAUUGAGCUGAUACCGCAUGAUAUUAGUUUGAAAGAUUUAUCGCUUAUGGAUGGACUCGCGUCAGAUUAGAUAGUUGGUGAGGUAACGGCUCACCAAGUCGACGAUCUGUAGCCGAACUGAGAGGUUGAUCGGCCACAUUGGGACUGAGACACGGCCCAGACUCC